GACAUCCAAACGGCAAGACAAUGGCUAAACUUAGUAUAAACCAAAGUCCCCGAGGGCAGUAGUAACAACAGAAUGCCUCCAAUGAGUGUUUCAAUAGGCUUUGCAAAAUACUGAGUGUCAUUGUAUGUAUGUGAGGCCCUUAAUAAAUAUCCUUUAGUGGUAGGGGAAAUGGGCCAGAAAUGUUCAGCAGCAUUAAGAAGAGUAUUCGUUCAUUUUGAGAUGACUUCUCAAAGCUGCAAACUAGCCAGUUGUGAGCUUGCAUUUGAGUGCAUGUGAUCCUGCUCUUUUGGUGAAAAAUUGUAGCCCUGUUUUGUUAAAUUGCAGUCUCCAGGGUUUCGGUUCCUACUAUGAACCUAGAGAACAGGCCAGAAGCAUGUUGCACAAGGCUUCCGUUUUCACUGUCCAGUGACUGGUAUCCAAAUUCCCAGAUUUUCGCAGUAAACUUCACUCAGUCUUGUUAUAAUUGUUAUCUGUAAACAUUUUUAUUCAGAAUGUUCUUAAAUGAACUCAGGGAAAGCUGUGCAUUAAAUAGACAUUUAACAGAUGGUCAAGAGAGUAGUAUUCUGAAAUUUGGUAAAACUGCACUAAUGAUAUUUAUAUACUACACUGGAGAAAACAAAACAAACCAAAUUAAAAUCCAAUAUUCGUAUAUUUUAAAUUAUCAUUACUGUCCAUAAAACUAUUUGAAAUAAUAAUUUCUUGUUAGUUUUAAAAAUGAAAAAAUAUUAUUUUAUAUAAAUCCUCCAAAUCCCAAAUCUUCAAAAUCCAACAGGAUAUAUAUUGAAAAGAGUUAUAAUUUCUUUAAGUUAUUAAGAAAUUGAGAUAUCUCAUGAAUAAUAUAAUUUAAAAAUCUAUUGGCUAGUAAGUACUGGCAAAGUGAAUAUUUAACCAAUCUUCUGAAAAAAAUUAAAUAAUACAAGCACUUAAAAGUCUAAGAUUCUAAGACAAUGAAUCAUUUUGAAUUGGCCAAAUGCAUCAUAAUUUUUCCAGAAGCUUGUUCAAAUUUUAUUUCCCAUUCUUAGAAAAAUACAGAAGAUAAAGCUGGGUAUAGUGGCACAUACUUGAAGUCCCAGCUGUUUGGGAGGCUGAGGCAGGAGGAUCGCUUGAGUGUGUGAGUUCAAGGCUGCAGUGAGGUAUGAUGGUGAUACUGUACUCCAGCCUGAGCAACAGAGCAAGACAGGAAUCUCAAAAACAAACAAACAAAAAAGAUUAGACUUUAUGGGAUGACACAAAGAAAAUCAUCAUCCCAUCUUCAAUUAAUGUUGAACAGUGUCUUAAAUAGUGCAGAAUGAAUGAAUUUUAUGGGAGUCAGUGUUUCCUAGUUUGAAAGUCUGAUUAUUUUCUGUCCUAAAGGAACAUGUUAGAGGGGGUCUCCAGAGUUGCUGAAACCCUUACUCCAUAUAUUGCAAGAAAACUCCUCGAGUGUAGUUUCUGUGUCUGAUGAGUAUCUCUCUGCAGCACACAGCCAAGGGCCUGGACCAUAGAAAAUAUCCAGAACUGAGGACUUCUCCUGCCAAGCCCAGGGAGUCUGAAUGUGAGUCCAAGGCUGGCAGCUUUGUAUGACUUCAACCAUCACACAUAUAUUGUGAGAGAGAAAAUGAGGCUUUGUGUCUCUUAUGCCUCUGAUUUUUAGAAACGGGUCUGGGCAGUGUCAAAGAGUAAAACAGCCUUUGCGCAUCUUAACCACAGGUGUUUGCCUUGGCCUCAAUUAACACUGCACUGAAUCACCCAACUGAGAGUUUGCAGUCACUGGGCUAGACUCCCAGAGACCGACUCAGGCUGUCCUCAGGCCGCGUGAAAGCCUAGAGAUAUCUUGGUCAGCAGCUUCGCUGGGACUCCAAACUCGAGAAGGGGAAUCAAGCAAGGCACUUUGGCAUCACCAGUGUGAAGAAUCUCCAGCAGGGGAGGCAACAGAGGUAGCAACAUUGUGGCCACGGUUGUGUAGAAUGCAUUGCAUCCAGCACACUGGCACAUACAUGCUUAAACCACACACUUGUGUGCGUGUCCCUGCACCAGGGGCAAAGCUCAUCCCUAGUUUAUGAGUAGUGCCUGACAACUGGCCCCUGUCCUUGGCCAGUCCCAAGCCCGUACGGGCAACAGGGCACGUGUUUUUGAGCCUCUCUCCCUCCUUUCAGCCCUCUCCAGGUGUCUUUGGGAAGGAUUCUUGGAGCUUCCCCCUGUCGAACUCGUCUAGGAUCUCCAUGGGCGAGCGCGGCUGGCGGCUGGCUAGCCUGGGCGGCCUGAGAGCGGAGCAGGCUCUGGGCGGGGCUCCCGAGGGUCUUGGCGCGCUGGCCGCCACCCACCCUGAGGCCGGAGGGGGGCGGGGGUCACCAAAGGCGGCGGGCCCGUCGUGCGGGGCUGCAGGGAUGCACCCUCUCUCCCCUAUUUUUUUUCAUUGGCCGGUUAUUUGCAUAUUUCAAUAAUCUUUGCAGACAUUCCAUUGACAGCAGUAUGUCAAUCAUACAGGUAGAUCAAUGAAGACCUAGGUCAACAAUAGAUGUCUAUAUAAACGUCUGAAAUAGCAAAAGUUGCUGCUUAUAAUGUUUGCAUUCAUGUUGUGGUAGAAAGUCCAUUAACCAGAAUAAUUUUUCAGAAAACUUCCAUAUAUUAAAUUGGAUGGAUUAUUUAAGGAGUGUUAAAAGUUUUUUAAAAUAAUAGAAUACAAUAAUAUGUAUCUAUAUAACCACAGCUUGGGAGAGUCUUUUCCAUGCAUGAAGCAAUUGAAGAAAUCUUAAAGAAAAAUCUUGGUUAAUUCUAUCCCACAAAACUGCUAAAAGUUAUAAAAGCUUAAUUUAUGGUGAGAAAAAUACCAAAAAUAUUAAAUUUAUAUUUUCUGUUCUAUUGAAGCAAUUAGAACAAAUGCAAUUUUAAAAUAUUUUAACCAAUUUAUGAGUAUAAACUCUUGAACUGAUUAAGAAUGGAUCAUAAAAUAAAUUUACAUUCAUGAUACAGUUUUAGAGUGAGAAUGUAAAAUGAGAUAUUGAAGGCGUGUUUUCUAAUAAUGAACCUCAAUGAGGCUUAAGAGAGUGAAAUAAUAUCCUUUGGAUUAAUGUUUAAUCGAAACUAAUAUUUACUGCUCUAGUGCAUUCAAGAGAGCCUGUUACUAGGUUUUUGAAUGUAUGAUUGUGUUUCAGAACCAAUUUAAAAUAACUAGAUGAGUGACUUUAGAGAAAAUGACAAUAAGGUUGUAUAGAAAUAGAUAUUUCUUUCGAGGUUUUACUUUAGAAAAUUUGAAAAAGUAAUUUCUAUUCUGCCACAGUUGUGUGAUCCUCUCUGCAUAUAAAAUGGUAUUUCCUCACUUAUAAACCCCAAACUCUUCUACAGUGAAGGUAAUACACGUUUAGAAUGAACACUGGGAUGUGCUUAAAAUACUCCCUUGAGAUGCUGGUUGCUUUCCAGAGGGCAGUUCUCUGCCUCAUUGAAUGGUGGAUUCACUGGUUGGAGUGCGUGUUUUCUUUUUUGAUAGACACAAAACCCACAUACUUUGAAAAUCUUCUGUGUUAAAUGUUCUGUUCAAAUAAGAGACUUAUCCCAGAAACAAGAGGGUCCUGGCCACAGCCAUUCAUUACAUAAAAAGGAAAAGAAAGUAGACAUUUUAGGUACCUUUAUCCUUGCUUCCUAAUUGGCUACCUAGGCUUGCCAGGUACGGCAGAAAGAUAAUCAGACUUUCUUUUUACAGGAUAUUAAAGAUGAGAAAGGCCUUGGAGAUGAUCAAAUCCAAUCCCUUUAUUUUCUAAAGAAACUGAGGCUCGGAAUAAUUGACCUGACAGAUAGAAACUGAUGGAAAAUUUUAGUUCUGUUACUUACUUGCUGUGAGACCAUUUUGAAAAUAGACAUCAUAUCCUGUUUUAAUUACCCUAGACUUCAGAAAUAAGCAUUCCAAGAUAAACCUAUCUGUAUCUGGGGGAAUAAGAGUAGGCUCAGUUGACAGAAGACAAUAGGAAAAGUAACACAUAAAGAUGUCACCAGAAGACAAAGCUCUGGAUUUAAGAUUUGGAAGUUGGAAAAACUCUUGGAAGCUUAGCAAAAUUGUAUAUAACCAGGCCCAUAUGAAAUGGAGUGCUGUUGCAAGUUACUGUGCUGAGGAAGUUGAGGCUCUAAGACCAAAAUGUUGGCAAAUGGCUUGGAUUUGGAAUAAUGAAGAAGAGAGGCCAAGAGCCAAUCCUAAAGUAAUGACAGGAAGUUGGUGGGUGUCCCAGAGAGAGGUCACUUCUGGUAAGGAGCAUAGGGAGAGAAUGGAGGCAGAGGAGUCCUGUAAACUAAAAUCCAGUGAUUUGGGAAUAAAAUGAGCCUCCCAGUUUGUUUGAAUAAAGUACUUGAAUCCAAACCAACAUUUUCUUGCUCCCAAUGCAUAUAUCAGGAUAAAACAUUUUGACACAUCGUAAAAUGCAUAUAAUUCAUAGAUACAAUACUUUACACAAGAAUAUAACACAUCAUAUUGUUCAGAUACUCAUAUGCCUAGUGCUAGGCAUUCAAAAAUAUUUGUUGAAUAAAUGAAAACUCCCAGCUCUGCCACUUACUUAAUUAACCACAAAAAAAAUUGUGUCGUCAGUAAAAUGGAUAUGGUGAUACACACCUCGUGGAGUGAGAUAAUAUACAUGAAGUACCCGGAACAUAUUAAGCAUUUGAUAAAUAAUAGCUGUUAUUGUUGUUUUAAGUAUGGGUCAAACAUUGUUGUAAAUGCUUUAUAAGAAUUUAAAAUUUAUACCACAGAAAACAUUUUCUAUGUCCUGUGAGAAAUAUGUAUGUUUUGUAUUUUAAAGAGAAAAAUGUGUUUAAAUAACCAGUCAAGUGUCUGAUACACAUCAUCUUGACUGUAUAUUAGAUUAAUUCAUCUAUAAUUAAUAUGUUAGUCAUUUCCAAGACCAAUGUAGUUGUCUACCACUUCCUAGCACACCUGGGCUGCACAAAUAUGUGGGUCUGAUAUAAUGUCAGAAAUGCAGGAAGCUAUAUGAGAUUCCAGCCCUCUAUUUUUCCAAGUGUAAAAGAACUUAUGAAUCAAGAGCCGAAUAAAAAACAUAGUACUCUUUCUGAUAAUCUGUCAACAAAUUUGCAAUCAUGUCAGGCAUGUUAUAUGAUUACGAAUUGCUCAAUGCUAUUAUGAAAAGUAUUUUCAACAAGUGAAACUUCUGGAGUUCUCUGCAGUUCUGGGAUCAAACCUCAGUGCCUUGUCCUAACGUCCCAUUAGGACAGAAGUGCCCUUCCUGAGAGUAUGGCAGCAUAAUGACAUUCUAGCACCUGGACCGAUUACACUGCUCUCCCUGAAGUAGUGGAUUCUUUCAUCAGCAGGAGAGAGAAGGGUGAAUUGUAUAAAGUGGAGCCUGACAGUGUGUAUUUUAUUCUUUAAAAUAAAAAAAUUAAGAACAUAAAAAA
rnacentral:lncRNA from 1 species